rnacentral:lncRNA from 1 species
ACUUCCAUAUAACUGUAUGAAAACAACAUGUUUGCUAUUUAUAAGGAAUUCCCUUGGGGAAACCAGCUUUAAAAAGGAGGAUAGGUUGUUGUGAGGAAAACUGGAUGUGAGUGGAUGGGGCCUCUUUAAAGGGGACAGUUUUCCAGUUUUGAAGAGACCUGUUGGGAUAAACACAUUCAAGAUAAUAGCGCUGGGACAGGACAAAAGCCACUUCAUUGUAAAAAUGCCUUCAACCUGAAACAUUCUGAUGGACCUGUGCACGAACAAUGGACACACACUGCCUAAUGUGGGAUGGAAGAGUAGCUGGUGGACCGCGGCAUUCUCUGGAUUCAUGGUUUGCUCUUUGGAGCCAGAUGGCACGCAAUACGUCUGAAGCUAAAUCCAGUCUUGUGACAGUGGUCAUCGCCAGCGAGGAACCACUUGGUCUGUGA